CUCCGGUUGAUCCUGCCGGACCCGACUGCUAUCGGAUUGAGAUUUAGCCAUGCGAGUCGAACGUCCCCCUGUUGCGGGGGGCGUGGCGUACGGCUCAGUAACACGUAGUCAACCUGCCCUGGAGACAAGGACAACCCCGGGAAACUGGGAUUAAUCCUUGAUAGGUCAUCUCAUCUGGAAGGAGAGAUGGCUUAAAGGGGUACGCGGGCUUCUUCCGCGAAUUCGCUCCAGGAUGGGACUGCGUCCGAUCAGGCUGUUGGCGGGGUAAUGGCCCACCAAACCUGUAACCGGUACGGGCCUUGAGAGAGGUGGCCCGGAGAUGGACACUGAGAGAAGGGUCCAGGUCCUACGGGGCGCAGCAGGCGCGAAACCUUCGCAAUGCGCGAAAGCGUGACGAGGUUAAUCCGAGUGAUUUCCGCUGAGGAGAUCUUUUGUCAGCUGUAAAUAGGCAGGCGAAUAAGGGGAGGGCAAGCCUGGUGUCAGCCGCCGCGGUAAUACCAGCUCCUCGAGUGGUCGGGGCGAUUAUUGGGCCUAAAGCAUCCGUAGCCGGUUCCGUAGGUCCUCUGUUAAAUCCAACCGCUUAACGGUUGACCUGCAGAGGAUACCGCGGGACUAGGAGGCGGGAGAGGCGGACGGUAUUCCGCGUGUAGGGGUAAAAUCCUUUGAUCCGCGGAGGACCACCAGUGGCGAAGGCGGUCCGCCAGAACGCGCUCGACGGUGAGGGAUGAAAGCUGGGGGAGCGAACCGGAUUAGAUACCCGGGUAGUCCCAGCCGUAAACGAUGCUAGCUAGAUGAUUCAUUCGCAAGUCGCGAAUGAAGUGUCGCAGGGAAGCCGUUAAGCUAGCCGCCUGGGGAGUACGGUCGCAAGACUGAAACUUAAAGGAAUUGGCGGGGGAGCA
rnacentral:rRNA from 1 species